AGACACCAUCAACUGAGUCUGAGUGGAAGGCCAUUGCCAGAGACUUUGCAAACAAGUGGCAAUUUCCACACUGCCUG